GAUGAACUGUGGGUAGCGGAGAAAUUCCAAUCGAACCCGGAGAUAGCUGGUUCUCCCCGAAAUAGUUUUAGGACUAGCCUCAAGUUAGAUACCUGGAGGUAAAGCACUGAAUAGCCUAGCGGCCGAGAGGUUAGCGAAGCUUAUCAAACUCAGAAUGCCAGAGUAUUGAUGCUUGGGAGUCAGACAGUGUCAGAUAAAUGUCAUUGUCAAAAGGGAAACAGCCCAGAUCUACAGCUAAGGUCCCAAAGUCAGGUUAAGUGGAAAACGAUGUGAAGAUACGCAGACAACCAGGAUGUUGGCUCAGAAGCAGCCACUCAUUCAAAGAGUGCGUAAUAGCUCACUGGUCGAGCGUCUUUGCGCGGAGAAUUUAACGGGGCUAAACCUGACACCGAAGCUUAGGCAAUCCAGUAAUGGAUUGGGUAGGGGAGCGUUGUAUACGCGGAGAAACAGUAGCGUAAGCGGCUGUGGAGUGUAUAGAAGUGAGAAUGCCGGAAUGAGUAGCGCGAAUGCAGUGAGAAUCUGCAUGGCCGAAAGCCUCAGGUUUUUGGAGGAAGGUUCGUCCGCUCCAAGUUAGUCGGGAGCUAAGGUGAGGCCGGAAGGCGUAGCCGAUGCACAGACGGUAGAGAUUCCGUCACCACCAAAAGAGUUAAGCACAGGGACACAUUUGAAGUCUCAGAGCCGGGUGUUGGUUCCGGUAGAGAUCGAGGGAAAUUAGUACCGAAGUCUGGGAUGGAAGAUGGCGAGAAAAGCUGUGUGUAUUUCUGAGGUGCCCGUACCGCAAACCGACACAGGUAGGUAGGAAGAAGAUUCUAAGGCCAACGGGAGAAGGGUUGUUAAGGAACUCGGCAAAUUGACCCCGUAACUUCGGGAGAAGGGGUGCUCCAGAGAUGGAGCCGCAGAGAAUCGGCCCAAGCAACUGUUUACCAAAAACACAGGUUUGUGCUAAAUCGAAAGAUGACGUAUACGAGCUGACGCCUGCCCGGUGCUGGAAGGUUAAGAGGAGAUGUGCAAGCAUUGAAUCGAAGCCCCAGUGAACGGCGGCCGUAACUAUAACGGUCCUAAGGUAGCGAAAUUCCUUGUCAGGUAAGUUCUGACCCGCAUGAAAGGCGUAAUGAUUUGGGCACUGUCUCAACAGCCCGCCCGGCGAAAUUGUAGUACCGGUGAAGAUGCCGGUUACCCGCGACAAGACGGAAAGACCCCAUGGAGCUUUACUGUAGCCUAAUAUUGGGUUUCGAUGUUGCAUGCACAGGAUAGAUGGGACACAGGGAAACAAUCGCUUUGGCGGUUGCGGAGUGGCCGUUGGGAUACCAUCCUUGCGAUAUUGGAAUUCUAACCUGCGGCUCUGAAUCGAGUCGGGGGACAUUGUUAGGUGGGCAGUUUGACUGGGGCGGUCGCCUCCUAAAAAGUAACGGAGGCGUUCAAAGGUUCGCUCAGCUUGAACGGAAAUCAAGCAAAAGAGUGCAAACGCAGAAGCGAGCCUAACUGCGAGACUGACGGGUCGAGCAGUAACGAAAGUUGGAGUUAGUGAUCCGGUGGUAUGUGAGUGGAAAUGCCAUCGCUCAACGGAUAAAAGUUACCCUGGGGAUAACAGGCUGAUCUCCCCCAAGAGUCCACAUCGACGGGGAGGUUUGGCACCUCGAUGUCGGCUCAUCGCAUCCUGGGGCUGUAUUCGGUCCCAAGGGUUUGGCUGUUCGCCAAUUAAAGCGGUACGCGAGCUGGGUUCAGAACGUCGUGAGACAGUUCGGUCCCUAUCUGUCGUGGGCGCAGGAUAUUUGAUGGGAGCUGUCCCUAGUACGAGAGGACCGGGACGGACGUACCUCUGGCGCACCAGUUGUUCCGCCAGGAGCAUAGCUGGGCAACUACGUACGGAUCGGAUAAACGCUGAAAGCAUCUAAGCGUGAAGCCGACCCAAAGAUAAGAUAUCCCAUUGUUUUAAACAAGUAAGACCCCUUGAAGACUACAAGGUUGAUAGGCACGAUGUGUAAGUGGAGCGAUCCAUUCAGCAAGCGUGUACUAAUAGGUCGAGGGCUUGACCAC
rnacentral:rRNA from 1 species